rnacentral:rRNA from 1 species
CCUACGGGAGGCAGCAGUGAGGAAUAUUGGUCAAUGGUCGGGAGACUGAACCAGCCAAGCCGCGUGAGGGAUGAAGGUACAGAGUAUCGUAAACCUCUUUUGUCAGGGAACAAAGGCGGGGACGUGUCCCCGGAUGAGUGUACCUGAAGGAAAAGCAUCGGCUAACUCCGUGCCAGCAGCCGCGGUAAUACGGAGGAUGCGAGCGUUAUCCGGUUUUAUUGGGUUUAAAGGGUGCGCAGGCGGUCUGUUAAGUCAGCGGUAAAAGCCCGGGGCUCAACCCCGGCCCGCCGUUGAAACUGGCAGUCUCGAGUUGGAGAGAAGUAUGCGGAAUGCGCGGUGUAGCGGUGAAAUGCAUAGAUAUCGCGCAGAACUCCGAUUGCGAAGGCAGCAUGCCGGCUCCACACUGACGCUGAGGCACGAAAGCGUGGGUAUCGAACAGGAUUAGAUACCCCUGUAGUC